rnacentral:rRNA from 1 species
CCCUAGUAACUGCGAGUGAAGCGGGAAAAGCUCAAAUUUAAAAUCUGGCAGUCAUUGACUGUCCGAGUUGUAAUCUAGAGAAGUAUUAUCCGCACUGGACCGUGUACAAGUCUCCUGGAAUGGAGCGUCAUAGAGGGUGAGAAUCCCGUCUUUGACACGGACUGCCAGGGCUUCUGUGAUGUACUCUCAAAGAGUCGAGUUGUUUGGGAAUGCAGCUCAAAAUGGGUGGUAAAUUCCAUCUAAAGCUAAAUAUUGGCGAGAGACCGAUAGCGAACAAGUACCGUGAGGGAAAGAUGAAAAGAACUUUGGAAAGAGAGUUAAACAGUACGUGAAAUUGCUGAAAGGGAAACGCUUGAAGUCAGUCAUGUUGUCUGGGGAUCAGCCUUGCUUUUGCUUGGUGCACUUCCUGGUUGACGGGUCAGCAUCAAUUUUGAUCAUUGGAAAAAGACUAGGGGAAUGUGGCAUCCUUGGAUGUGUUUAUAGCCCUUGGUUGGAUACAAUGGUUGGGAUUGAGGAACUCAGCACGCCUGUGAGGGUCGGAUUUUUUUC